rnacentral:rRNA from 1 species
CCUACGGGAGGCAGCAGUGAGGAAUAUUGGUCAAUGGGCGGGAGCCUGAACCAGCCAAGUCGCGUGAGGGAUGACGGUCCUACGGAUUGUAAACCUCUUUUGUCGGGGAGCAAUGCCGGGCACGUGUGCCCGUAGGGAGAGUACCCGCAGAUUAAGCAUCGGCUAACUCCGUGCCAGCAGCCGCGGUAAUACGGAGGUUGCGAGCGUUAUCCGGAUUUAUUGGGUUAAAGGGGUGCGUAGGCGGAUUUUUAAGUCGGCGGUAAAAUGUCCGGGCUCAACCCGGGCCGGCCGUUGAAACUGGGGAUCUUGAGUGGGCGAGAGGUAUACGGAAUGCGUGGUGUAGCGGUGAAAUGCAUAGAUAUCACGCAGAACUCCGAUUGCGAAGGCAGCAUACCGGCGCCCGACUGACGCUGAGGCACGAAAGCGUGGGGAUCGAACAGGAUUAGAUACCCGAGUAGUC